rnacentral:lncRNA from 1 species
GUUGUGUGAAGGCACUGAGACAGUGCCUGGAACAUAGUAAUUGUUCAACAAACGUUACUUUUUUUUUUUUAAUCAUUACCAUCAUUAUAUUAUGGAGGAGAGAGAUUUGAGGUUGCUGUGGAGUAGGAAGUUAUAGGGGCACAAAGGGGUUAUGGCCCAGGGAGGAAGGUAUUCAAGGGAGAAAUUCCCUGCAGUGAGAAAGGCCACAGAGCUCUCUUGGCCUAACUUCUGGAUAGUUCGAAGGCCGCUACAUCUACAAUCAGGAGGAGAGGCUCCAAGAGUUAGGGCUCUAUGUUUUUCUCAUACAGAAGGCCUUGUGUGCAUCAUGGUUAGCCAGAGCUCCAGCCAUCACACCCACAGUUUAGACAGGAAGUGGGGUAAUGGCAAAAGAAGGGCAGCCUGCUUGCCACCCGAGUCAGCCCUUCUUAGGGAGCUGUCUUAGAAGCCCUGAAGGAGACCCUAAGCCAUAGCUGCAGAUACAAGAGAUUUGCUCAGAAAAAGCCCCCGGAGGAAACCGUCAGGGAAGAAAAGGAAGCAGCUGGGGUCCAGGUUCAGGUCACCUCAACCCGGCCCUGUGGAUCUCGAAGUGCACAGGGCAGCUCAGAGUGUGUCCCAGGGCACAGGACAGGAGCUGGCCCUGCACCGCAGCGCACAUGCGGGUGGCUAGGAAGAGGACCUUCCAGGAGCCUGUCUCCAUGCAGGGCAGGUGGCACAGGGGCCCAGUUCUGUGUCCACAGCAGGAUGAUCCACGGGUGCUUGUGCAUGGGACUGGUUAGGGUCAAGGACAUGGGGCAGGACACCAGGAUCCGAUGCCACCUCGGGUCAAGUGUCUGUUGGUUCCUAGUGUCUCUUGGACUGACGAUGCAUCCAGGGUCUCCCUUGCCCGCCACCCUCGCCCAGCCUGUGGGCCCUUCCUGACCCCCACCUGGGAGGGGGUGACAGGCAGAAGAUGAUGGCACAAAUGGGCGGGGGUGGCCCAGUUCUCGACAUUUUCCCACAGACAGGAACAGCUGGCGUGGCUCCUGGUGCUAAAUUGAAAUUAAUGCUGGCCCCGUGCCCGGGCUGGCUCCCAGCGCUGUCCUCAGAGCAGAGUGUCUGCAGCUUGGAGCCCAAGAAGGUCACUUGCUGUCACAAGGGAAGGUGAGGAGGGGCUGUGAUGGUCAGGGGGCCCAGCAAGAAAUGGAACCUGAGGCGACUGGUCAAGAGACGUUAAAGAAGGGCCUUCUCUCAGCAUGGGCCAGGCUCGGGGAAUGGAGCCGGGAGGUCAGGGCACUGAGGGGCACCAUUGCCCCAUACAGGAGGCUGCAGAAGGGCCCGGGUGACUGAAGGCCAGGGAGGGGUGGCAUGGGGAGAGGGGUCAUGUGGCAGGAAGCUGUGGACGUCGUGACGACCUGCAGAAGCAUGAGAGGGACUUGAAAAGCCACGUCCACCCCGCUGCAUGCUCUGGUCUCCUGCGGGCCCUCCCAUCAGCCAAACCUGGCUGGAAGCCAGAAGGCCGGGGAGUCCACAGUGAGGUGCCACCCUUCAGUUUGAAAAGUGUCUUCUGGUACGUCUCUUCGGGAAACUUUUUAAUUCAAGCGUGACAUGCACUGGGACGGGCCGGUCACAGGUGAACUUGAUCCAUGCAACCCGCUAAGACACGGAGGCUUCGCCCUCCCUGGGAGGACUGGUUUCCUGUCUCCCUUCUCCACCCUCCUCUCCCAGGAAACCUAGAUUCUGACUCUAAAAACAUGAGUUUUCCCCGAUUUGGUGCAGGUACAUAAAGGGCAUCUUCAGCAUGAGCUGUUAGGGGUCUGGCCUUUGCAUUCCACGUGUCCAUGUCCUUGGCUGUACUUUCCCCCUUGCCGCAGGAGAGAUCACGUUGCAAGGACAUCUCUGCAAACCCUUUGCCUUAUCUAGGAAGAAUCUCCAGAUUUAGGUGUUCUGAGUGGAACGGGGUAAACAUUUUUUAUAGCUCCCAAAACGCUUUCUGAAGGAUGCACGACCCUUCUCCCUGCUCAUCUGGGAAGUCUGUCACCAAGGUUAAAAAGGGUGACUCGAGCUUUCACUGGGAGAGAGGCCAAGAGGGGCCCAGGUCUAGAUCCUCCUGGGGAAGGAUCUGAAACUAAGUGCUGAGAAUUCCCGCCUAUGGGCCUGACAGUUCUUGGUCAUAAGCCACAGAAUCCUCUGUGCUGGGCGAGGUAGAAACGCAGCCUACUGAAGGCAACUGGGUAGCCAGUCCGUGGAUUACCUGGGGGGUUUGGUGACUGUGUGGCAGGAUCAGAACUCAAAUCCCCAGGCCCUUCAGUUUAUGCUCUGGACUCUGAGCACUGGACGUCUGGCCAGUGCCGCUGUCCCCAGACAUACGGACGGAAUUCCUCUCUUGUCUCUUUGACCCUCAGGAUCUCUGCUGGCCUCUUUGGGACCUUCAGAUCUAUGUGAUUCAGGGUCCUCCACUCAGCCUGAACAUGACUCAGGGCAUUAUUAGCAAGGGAGACACCAGGGAAGAGUUUUGAGCAUGGCCAGCCCUUGUGGCCUCAGUGGGGCAUUCCAUCGCCCCUCAGUGUUCCUUGAGGGAUGGAUUCGAGGCAUCCCUCCUCCAUCAAAUAGCAAAAUAUGUGAUGCCCAAGUCCUUCCCAGGAAAUAGUAUGUGUGCAUGUGCCCUUGCAAUCCUCUCAGGUACCUGAAUCACCUCUUGAUUAAUCCUAAAAUCUAAAACAGUGGUCACACUGCCUUGUUUAGGGAAUGAUGGUAAGAAAAAGCCUGUGCACACUCAGUACAGGCAGGAUUCUUUUCUAGAACGUUCUCCAUCCACAGUUGGUUGAAUCCCAGGAUGCAGAGGUCUGGCAGCACUGGGUGGGAAAUGGUGACCCUGGCCCUGACCCCGCAGUCUCUCAGCCCCAGUGCCAGACACCUCAUCACCUGCUCCUCAGUCCUUUGCUGCCCCAGAGGGUGUUCUGUGUCCAAUUCCAUUUCCAGGGAAAGAAGCUCUGAUUGGUCCAACCUGGUGAGACCUUCUCCUGUCAUCCAAUCAGCCACAGCAGGAGGGAGGACUGAGUGACAUCACGGCCAGGAACUUGGAGGGUGGCCCCUUCAGGAGGGCCCUGCGAAGUGGGACGCUGGAGCUUGUUUUCUUUCUUUGUUUAAAAUGAUUGGUCAUCUCAUUAACCACCAAGAUGGCAGAAGUCAGAAUCCAGUCGGACUGCCUGACACUUAUUUAUGUAAUAAAUAAAAUAGAUCAGUGUGGCUUUUAUUUGGAAUGACAUAGUAUCACCGGGGAACUCCAAGGAUUUCCCCAGGAGAGGGACCUCAACCCAGGAUGAGUGGUAAAUUUUCAGUAGCUUUAAGAUUUUGAGUGAAGAUUUGCAGGUUUCCAGAAAUCUAGGGUUGACAGGAUGAGGAGAGGAAUUGGCUUGGGGAGUGACAAUUCUGGAAGAAAAACUGAUCUGGAGAGUGAGAGUAUGAGGACCAGGCCUUUGGAUUAAAGUUACAGUCUCCUCAUCCUUCCUUUUGUCUAUGUUCUUUUUUUUUUCUUUUUUUUUUGUGGGGGGGAGGUGGAGGGGAUUGACCACUUGACCUCUGAGCCACAUCCCCAGCCCUAUUUUGUAUUUUACUUAGAGACAGGGUCUCACUGAGUUGCUUAGUGCUUCGCUGUUGCUGAGGCUGGCUUUGAGUUGAGAUCCUCCUGCCUCAGCCUCCGAGUCACUGGGAUGACAGGUGUGCACCACUGCACCUGGCUCCAUUCUGCCUUUUUAUUUCUUCCACCUACCUCAGUAGAUGGGAUGACAUAUUUCGCCAUCUUUGCAGGCUUUAAAGUUCCCAACUUGGUCCUGGCAGACUUGAAAAAUUGAGGCUCAGAGAGUCCUACCAAUUUUCUAAGGGCACACAGCACAUCAGCAACUGAGGGAGGACUCCAGUGUCCUCUCUUCUAUACAGUGCUCGUCCACUCAUGCCAUCUUUUCUGAGAAUUAUUUUCACAUUCUGGGAGGAGGGCGGCAUUUGUGCCACCUGACCAUGGCUGCUGGCUCCACAUGAUUGGGCCAAUGUAAAAUCUAGGCUGGGACAAUUGUAUUCUCUUUCCUGGGAAGUCAUGAUUAAAGUAUUGAUUUUUCUUUUUUAUAAACUGGGCUCCAGAAUGGAACUCAUAAGGAGAAAGCUGGGAGGGAGAGGGGAAGGCAGAGAAGAUAAUCUUUUUUAAAAGAGGCCAGGUGGAGAGACCAGGUGGAGAGAAUUUGAGGGACGAGCUGCUUUGGUUUCAGUUUUCUAGUUCUUGGUUUUUGCUGCUCAUGGGAACCUGCUCCUGCUUACCAGAUAGAACGCUAGAAUCCAUAAACUUCACCAUGGUUUUGGCUGCAAGAAGAAAACAUAAUCCAUUCUGUCUUAAACUGAGAAGAAAACUUAGUAAUUCUCAUAACAAGAAAUGAGAUAAUAUGUGGUCUGAGGCCUGGUAUGAUCAGGAUUCUAGAUACAUUGUUCUGUAAUUCUCUUAGCACAUUCCUCUAUUAUAUGUUGGCUUCGAUCACUCACUGGCUUCCCUCAUGAUUACAAGACGGCUGCCAGCAACAACAGCAGUCACACUUCCAUGGAGCCAGAAAAGCAUCUCCCUCCAAUCCUGGACCAACCUUUCUUGUUGAAUUAGGCCACCUUCAGUUAUGUGCAUCUCCCUGGACCAGUUGCAGUCUCCCGCAGAAUACCAUGCACUGGUUGGCUUACGCUUAGGUCUUUGGUCCAAUCAUGAGCAAGGAGCUGGAAUGGCUGCUGGCCAAUGGAGUUGGGGCUGGAGCUGUGGGCUGGAAUCAGCUCCUGGGCACACAGGUUACAUGGGAGGGGGACAGUGACCUGAUCAAAUCGGAGUGUGCUAGGAAAGGAAGAAGGGAGAAGAGGGGCUGGGGAGACUGAAAGCAUCAUCUCGAGUUGGUCUGCGUGGGUUCCUGGUCCUGGUAGCCAGAGAGGCGUCGGUUUCCUGGUCUGCGCCCAGAUGCCUCUGCCUGGCCCUCCGCAGCCUGGCUAAUUUCCCUUCCAUUCUGAGGCUUCCGCUCUUGCCAACAUUUCUCGCCACUGGCGCACCGCUCUGGCAAGCUGGCAUCUCAUUCUGCUCCAGGCCCCGCUGAUGGAGCUAAAGAUCCCUUUAGCAGAAUAGAUUCUGGCAUGUUCUAAUUUAAAAAGCCUUGUACUCUCCCCGGCAGGGGGGCUGAGAGCUGAACCCAUGAAGUCACUGAGCGUGAAUUCCUCUGAGGAAGGCCUAUUUUUAACAGUUCCUGAACCUAACUGAACUUCAUCACCUUUCAGGCGUUGACACUUAAAAUACGUGCAUCACACGCAGGCACGGAGCUGCUCUUCAUGCACCAGAGACGGCAGAGACCAGCCUUCAGAGGGCCGCUCAUCUGGGGGCUGCGGCUCACCCAGCAUGGUGGUGAGUAAAGCAAGGGGCUUUAGAGACAGGCGACCCUGGGUUCAAAUCCUGCUGCUCCACUAACUGCCAUGCUAUUUUCUCCAAGCUUCAGUUUUCUCAUUUAUAAAAUGAUGGUAACAUGUGUCCAUGACACCUUGUAUCAUCAUUUAGAGGCAAAGCCUGACAGGGGGCUGUUGGUGAUCUUUAUUUAUCCCACUUGGUGUGAGUAUUCAUAGGUCUCCUUGUAGAAUCAUUUGUGUGCUUGAUCCAAAACCCUAUACCCACACUGUCACACUAACAUCCCUCAUGGUGACAACAUGGCUGCCAGCAACAUCAGGGGCACCUGAUGUGUGCUGUAUGACCUUUCUGAAACCAAAAUACAUCCUGUCCUAGGAGUUUAGGGACAAGAAAGUGGAAACCCUUACUAUGGCCCAGCUACAAUUCACUCAGGGGGCUGGGAGGUGAAGUGGAAGUCACACGGACCCAAAAGUGCCCUAGGAAACCGGGAUCCUCCAUUAAUACCUGACAGCGCUGUCAUUAUUGAAUUUAGCCCCAGAGGAAGUGUUUUGGGGCCAAUUGUAUGAAAAGCGUUCAUCUUUAAAUUUUCAAACUGUUAGCACAGUGAAAUGCUCAGGAUUAGUCGCCCUUGACCUUGAGUCACCCUUGACCGGGGUUUCCUGUGUCAUGGUCACAAGGGGCAGGAGAGGGGUGGUCCCCAAGGAAAACAACAGGCAGACUCCCAAUCACUGGUGAAGUUCUUUCUUUAUAAUCGAUUUUUAAUUUUCUUGCAGAGUAGUGGGACCAGGGCUGGGUUAACUGCGCGUGAAGUUGGUACCUGGCAGGGUCGCUGAGAGCGCGCGGAUAAGACGACCGCGAAUGGAGAGUGGCGUGGCCGGGGACCGGAAUCCUCAGUAAGAGUGGCCUAGGACUGAGAAGAGCGCUGGUGGUUGCACGAGGUCACUCCGGGCCAGGAGGGCCCGUCUGGGCAUGACUAGCCCGGCAAGGGGUCGCCGCAGGUCGCGGAGGAGCGUGUCCCGGGUCCCUCUCUUUCGCUACAGCUGCAGGUCGGGCCGGGGGGCGCGCCCCGCAGCGCCUUCCAGGGAGAAUGCCGACUGUGCGCGUCACAAGGGCGCGCGCUCCGGGCCGAGGCGCCCGCACUCCGGGCCGGGCGGGGUGGCGCAGCGCCGCUGUGCAGCAAGCGCUCGCGUCGUGGGACCCGC